GACAGAGGUCCCGAGCGUUGUUCGGAUUCAUUGGGCGUAAAGGGUGUGUAGGAGGUCGGGUCAGUCAGGUGUGAAAUCUCAGAGCUUAACUCUGAAACUGCGCUUGAUACUGCUCGGCUAGAGGAUCGGAGGGGGUAUCGGAAUUUAUGGUGUAGCAGUGAAAUGCGUAGAUAUCAUAAGGAACACCGGUGGCGAAGGCGGAUACCUGGAAGAUUCCUGACUCUGAAACACGAAAGCCAGGGGAGCAAACGGG
rnacentral:rRNA from 1 species